rnacentral:sRNA from 1 species
CCGUGGCGAGGAUACUGUUGAGUCCUUCUUGACCGCUGUGGGCACACUCUUUGAGCUCGGAAUCCAUGUCAACUUUGAGAGGCUGAUGCCGACAGGAACCUGUCUCCCUGAUCUACCGCGAUACCCCUGGGAUCACAAGUCCAACUACUGGAAGGAGUCCAGGAUGGCCUACGAGUGGAGGAACCGCGAGUUUCCCGCCCACCCAUUGCUUGGUAUUCGUCAGCUCGAAAGCACCAGUCUUGAGCCCAGCUUCAGAAACAGACUCCUUAUUGGCGACACUCCCUGGCUCCGGGACCACCAAAUUGAGGAAAAGCCCGUUUUCCCUUGUGCUGGUUAUGUAUCCAUGAUUGGGGAGGGAAUCCGACAGCUCGUUGGUUAUCAGGCGAGUUUCACACUGCGAAACGUCGUCCUCAGUAAUGCCUUGGUCCUUUCAGAAAACACACAUACC